UAGGGAAUCUUCCACAAUGGGCGCAAGCCUGAUGGAGCAACACCGCGUGAGUGAAGAAGGGUUUCGGCUCGUAAAGCUCUGUUGUUAAAGAAGGCACGUAUGAGAGUAACUGUUCAUACGUUGACGGUAUUUAACCAGAAAGUCACGGCUAACUACGUGCCAC
rnacentral:rRNA from 1 species